rnacentral:tRNA from 1 species
CGCCGGCGGCGAGGCCGACGGGCUGGCCGAUGGUUUCGGACCGUCGGCCGGCGGUUCCUCCGCCGCCGGCGGC